rnacentral:lncRNA from 1 species
UUUUAGAAAUAAAAAAACCCACCAUAUUUUGUUUAUGAUUAUUAUAGGCUUAAGCUAUAUUCGUACGUAUCAACAAAACUAAGGUACUUGCUUCAGCGUUAUUGUGGCCAUUUUCACUUAAUAUUCUGGACCACCUGUGUAGACUUUUUCAAAAAUACCAAAAGAACCACGUGAACUCAGAAUAGCGGAUGUGGCCGAUAGGAUGUAUUCUAGCAUGUACUCCAUAAUUUGCUGUAUUAUAGGGUAUUUCCGUGAUGUAUAUAUCAACAAAACUACUGAGAUAACGAACUGAGAGAUUUUUAAAAACCAACCGGUACCGUUACGCGAUCAAGGUUAUUCCAGACCAGAGCUCAAGUUAGGAGCCAAGAGAAACCAUUCAACACAUUAAAACUCCUGAUUCUAACCAAAAUAUCACACCAAGCGAAAUGAAGACCGCUCAAGAAGGUGAUGGGUCUCUUCAACGGAUAAGGGAUUUCGCCAAGAACGAGAGCGUUAAAAUAAGUACACGUUAUAAAGAUGUUUUGCACACAGGUGAUAGCUGUCGAUAUUGUUGGCCCUAUCCAUCCUAUGGCAAAAGAUAGAAACAGUCUUGCAGAGCGGAUGUAAAACAACCGUAAAAGAAAAACUACUCGGAUGUCUUUACAUAUUUGCCGGAUUAGGACAUCAUGGAAUCAACCUGAAAACCGAUGAUCCGUACUAAACCGUACCCACUACCUCACGCACACAGAUACAGCAAAAUGAUUAUUAGAAACAUCAAGCUAAAGGAAUUUUUUUUGACGAUUACGAGCGGCAAGCUUGAUAGCACAUUCCAGCAAGUGUUUAUUGUGUACGAAACAAUCGAAUUUCUCGGGCAUGUUUUGAAGGAAAGGGCAAGCUUCAAAAUCGACCAGAGAAAAUACAAAUUAUCCUGGAUGCACAAACGGUCGAAAAAGCAACUCCGACCAUUCCUGGGAAUGACCAAUAAUUAUGUUUAAGAGAGGACAGACAAAUCCUUACUGCAAGACAUUGUAUCAAAGAAUCAUGGCACUAUGCAGCAACAGAGCAUGACCAAUGUUGCAAGACAGGAAAAGUAUACUGAAGUUUAUUUGGAAAAUCUAGUUUAAAAAGCAUAAUCGCGGGACGUGAAAGAACACAAACAAGUUACUGGAUCAUGACAACUUUCAUUCUGAAAUAUUGACUAUAUUAUACAAACUGUAUGAACUAGCGAAUUGCAACAAGAUGAGGAAGAGUAACCAGAACUACUAUAAUUCAUUUUUCUAAUAUAGGCUGUGUAAAGCAUUUUAACUUUUGGUUAAUUUAAUUGGUGAUGCCUAAUAGUUUGCAAGAUAAGAGAAGACAACUUAAUCACGGUGAUUUUUAUUAUUUUUAAUAAGUUUAUUGGAGAAUCAAGACAGCUUGCAUCAUUAUAAAAUACUGAACCAAGAGAAACAAUUUCCUAUAAUUAUUAUUUUUUGUAUAUUUAUAUAAAUUUAUAUGAUUUUGGUUGUGAAGAUUUUAUAAUAAAAAAUAUAAGUUGUGUUGACGUGUUUCUUUGCUGGUCGUGUCUGAAGACCGGAUAAGCUUGCAAGACGAAAGAAGCGCCCUCUAAAAGAAAAAGGACCAAGUUUCCCAUUUUCCCUCAAUUUGUAUUAAAGUGGUGCUGAAGGGUGCCCUCUAAUAGAAACACAAAAUUACCAGGGUCUCUAAAUUUCUGUUUAAAGGGGUUCCCUGUGGUGCUGGAAAGCGCCCUCUAUAGCCACUUUAUUUCUAAGUUUUUCAGGGUCUCCAAUUGUCAAUUUCUAUUAAAAGUAUGGUAAAAUGCGCCCUCUAAAAGCCAGUUUUUCAGCGCCCUCAAUUGUCAGUUUAAUAUGUUUGACAACUGUGGAGUUCUGAAAAACCUGGUUAUAGAGGGAGCUUUCUCCCUAUUGACAAUUACGAGACCCUAAAGAACUUGGGGUAAAAGGGCUGUUUGAGGGCGCUUUUCUUCACUAUUUUUUCCAGAACUCCAUAGACUAAAGUUGCCAAAAAACUUAGUCAUAUU